rnacentral:rRNA from 1 species
UACGUAGGUGGCAAGCGUUGUCCGGAUUUAUUGGGUUUAAAGGGUGCGUAGGCGGUUCUGUAAGUCAGUGGUGAAAUACGGCAGCUCAACUGUCGAGGUGCCAUUGAUACUGCGGAACUUGAGUACUGAUGAGGUAGGCGGAAUUGACGGUGUAGCGGUGAAAUGCUUAGAGAUCGUCAAGAACACCGAUAGCGAAGGCAGCUUACCAAGCAGUAACUGACGCUGAGGCACGAAAGUGCGGGGAUCAAACAGG